rnacentral:rRNA from 1 species
UACGUAGGGUGCGAGCGUUGUCCGGAAUUAUUGGGCGUAAAGAGCUCGUAGGCGGUUUGUCGCGUCGGCCGUGAAAACUUGGGGCUUAACCCCAAGCCUGCGGUCGAUACGGGCGGGCUAGAGUUCGGUAGGGGAGACUGGAAUUCCUGGUGUAGCGGUGAAAUGCGCAGAUAUCAGGAGGAACACCGGUGGCGAAGGCGGGUCUCUGGGCCGAUACUGACGCUGAGGAGCGAAAGCGUGGGGAGCGAACAGG